rnacentral:rRNA from 1 species
AACGCGAAGAACCUUACCUGGGCUCGAACGGCUAUGGACAAUCUUUGGAAACAGAGACUUCUCGCAAGAGACUGUAGUCGAGGUGCUGCAUGGCUGUCGUCAGCUCGUGUCGUGAGAUGUUGGGUUAAGUCCCGCAACGAGCGCAACCCUUGUCCUGUGUUGCCAUCAUUUAGUUGGGAACUCUCAGGAGACCGCCAGCGAUAAGCUGGAGGAAGGUGGGGAUGAUGUCAAGUCAUCAUGGCCUUUAUGUCCAGGGCUACACACGUGCUACAAUGGCCGGUACAAAGCGCUGCAAACCCGCGAGGGGGAGCUAAUCGCAAAAAACCGGUCUCAGUUCGGAUCGCAGGCUGCAACUCGCCUGCGUGAAGCUGGAAUCGCUAGUAAUGCCGUAUCAGAACGAUGGCGUGAAUACGUUCCCGGGCCUUGUACACACCGUAGAGAC